rnacentral:rRNA from 1 species
UGGGGAAUUUUGGACAAUGGGGGAAACCCUGAUCCAGCCAUCCCGCGUGUGCGAUGAAGGCCUUCGGGUUGUAAAGCACUUUUGGCAGGAAAGAAACGUCAUGGGUUAAUACCCCGUGAAACUGACGGUACCUGCAGAAUAAGCGCCGGCUAACUACGUGCCAGCAGCCGCGGUAAUACGUAGGGUGCAAGCGUUAAUCGGAAUUACUGGGCGUAAAGCGUGCGCAGGCGGUUCGGAAAGAAAGAUGUGAAAUCCCAGAGCUCAACUUUGGAACUGCAUUUUUAACUACCGGGCUAGAGUGUGUCAGAGGGAGGUGGAAUUCCGCGUGUAGCAGUGAAAUGCGUAGAUAUGCGGAGGAACACCGAUGGCGAAGGCAGCCUACUGGGAUAACACUGACGCUCAUGCACGAAAGCGUGGGGAGCAAACAGG